rnacentral:rRNA from 1 species
AACGAACGCUGGCGGCGUGCUUAACACAUGCAAGUCGAACGCGAAAGGGACUUCGGUCCUGAGUAAAGUGGCGCACGGGUGAGUAACGCGUGGAUAAUCUGCCCAAUGUACCGGGAUAACAUUUCGAAAGGGGUGCUAAUACCGGAUAAGACCACGAGAUCUUAGGAUUUUGCGGUAAAAGGUGGGGACCUUCGGGCCUACCGUCAUUGGAUGAGUCCGCGUACCAUUAGCUAGUUGGUAGGGUAAGAGCCUACCAAGGCAACGAUGGUUAGCUGGUCUGGGAGGAUGAUCAGCCAAACUGGAACUGGGACACGGUCCAGACUCCUACGGGAGGCAGCAGUGGGGAAUUUUGCGCAAUGGGGGAAACCCUGACGCAGCAACGCCGCGUGAGUGAGGAAGGCCUUCGGGUCGUAAAGCUCUGUCAGAGGGAAAGAAAUGCAGUUGUGCUAAUAUCAUGAUUGCUUGACGGUACCCUCAAAGGAAGCACCGGCUAACUCCGUGCCAGCCGCCGCAGUAACAC